AUGGAGUGGCUGGACGAGAAGGCAGCCGCCGGCCGGGGCGUGCUGUACGUCGCGUUCGGGACACUGGCCGCGAUUCCAGAGAUGCAGCUCAAGGAAGUUGCAGACGGGCUGGAGCGGGCCGAGCACCAGAGCGUGAGAGGGUUUCUGAGCCACUGCGGGUGGAACUCGGUGCUGGAGAGUGUCACGGCUGCUGUGCCACUGGCAGCUUGGCCCAUGCAGGCCGAUCAACCUUUCUUUUUUUUUUUGCGGCGUUUGCAGUCGAUGAGCUCAAGAUCGCGGUUAGGGUCCACACGAGUGAUAGAACGAUGCGGGGUUUGGUUGCGAGCCAAGAAAUAUCACAACUCACAAGUGGUCAGGAAGCUUAUGCUCGGAGAGGUCGGAACUGAAGUGGCAAAGAAUGUUGCUGAGUUAUCGGUGCUAGCUAUGGAGUCCAUGUUGGAGACGGGGUCGUCUUGGAAAGCAAUGGAGGAGAUGAUCGGUGAGUUGUGUGCACCCAACAUGCAUGCAAAGGUUGAGGCAAGCAAGGAGGAGUCGCGAGAUGUUUAA
rnacentral:rRNA from 1 species